GGAUAGAGGCGCGGAAACGCAAGAGUAACCGGCGAUCAUGGGCCAGAGCAGCCCGCCGGGGAAAGGGCUUUCCGCCGAAGGGCCGGCGUCCUGCCUGGGAGCCGGUGACCUGGGCCGUGGGAGAAGAUCUCACGGACUGCCACACUUUUCCCCGUGUGGAGCGCUAUC
rnacentral:ncRNA from 1 species